rnacentral:rRNA from 1 species
GUGGGGAAUAUUGCACAAUGGGCGCAAGCCUGAUGCAGCAACGCCGCGUGAGGGAUGACGGCCUUCGGGUUGUAAACCUCUUUUAGUAGGGAAGAAGCGUAAGUGACGGUACCUGCAGAAAAAGCACCGGCUAACUACGUGCCAGCAGCCGCGGUAAUACGUAGGGUGCAAGCGUUGUCCGGAAUUAUUGGGCGUAAAGAGCUCGUAGGCGGCUUGUCGCGUUUGCUGUGAAAACCCGAGGCUCAACCUCGGGCUUGCAGUGGGUACGGGCAGGCUAGAGUGCGGUAGGGGAGAUUGGAAUUCCUGGUGUAGCGGUGGAAUGCGCAGAUAUCAGGAGGAACACCGAUGGCGAAGGCAGAUCUCUGGGCCGUAACUGACGCUGAGGAGCGAAAGCAUGGGGAGCGAACAGGAUUAGAUACCCGAGUAGUCC